CGACUAAAGACAAAACAGACAUGAAAUUAUUGUGCCUCGCGUUCCGACUACCGGCGUCCAAAAAAAUGUGAGUGUUUCUUACGCUCCCUGCGACCUGCUACGGCCAACGUAAAAAUUAUAUCCAACUCAUUCGUCGAGCAUGUAGAUACGAGGGACAACCUGAAAGGAGUCGCUCUCACCCAACAUGUGCACAGUGUCGCAGUGAUUUCUCAGGGCAUAGGUCUUGUUCCUUUGGCGACAAGAAACAGAAAACAACUUUAAUCACUUUCCAAGAAAAAUGAUAUCUCACUGGAGAACAAUCUGUGAAAUCACUUCAACGUGAUCAAUUUGCAUUCCACGUGUGCAUGUAUUUCAGUGUUUGCACUUUUACGUUUACUCAGACUUUAAUCCGAAUUUCGAACGCAGGAACUGACUGUCGCUCGAGCAAAUGCUUCUUCGAUUUGUUUACUGUUUGUUAAUUUUUAUUCGUGCAUUCGUGCAUUUUUAUUCAUAUGUGAAAUUGACUACAGGAUGAAAGUUUACGGUCUAAUUUGUGGAAGAUUCAGUAGUAAAAGCUUACAGAUCAAUCCCUUUAAUUAGUUUUUUUUCGCAAAUGAAAAUCCGGCCAAAUCGUGGACACUGAAACACUAGCGUCGCGUAGCGGCGGAACGAGGGAACUAAUUUUUGUUUCUAUCCUUGUCGCACACUAUUGCCCUCUUCGUUUACGGAGGUGCUGCCAUCUGAAUACUUUCAUUUUUCGUUGGAACUAAAAAGAUAAAAAUGAAAAAUCCGAUAGAUGUCAGCACGUGUAUUGUUUGUUGAUUCCAAUCAUUUUCAAUAGGUGGCAGUAUCAGUAUUAUUCUGUAGCGGCGCGCGCACUUUUCAAAUGAGCGGAGUCACGUAUAUAAAUUAAAUAGUUGUGCUGAUAUUAAACCUCGUAAUAUUUAUUAAUUAAAAUGAGUAAACUUUCGCAGUUCGUAGACAAAGAAAACGAUAUUGUGCUACAAAGAAAGAAAUGAUGUAAAACGAAAACAUAGAUAGCAAUUAGUACUAUCAUUUCACCUAGUAUCUCGAUGUCCAUAAACAGGUCAAAUUUUUAUUUGCCAAAAAAUUCAAUUAAAGAGAUAAAUUUGUAAACUUUUACUACUAGAGUUUUUUUAAUAAGACCUUUAGCUUUCUUCUUACGUUUUAUUUUUAAAUAAAAUAAAGUUUAUAACGACACUGAAACAAACAGUAUUUCAAAGCAUGUGACACAGAGUCUCAUAUAAGAUACAGGGAAAUAGAAAAAUGCCCAAAAUAUAAAAAUAUGUUUUAUUUCGCACACAAUUUUGCAGAAACAAUUGCCAACAGACAACGAGACUGAAUACAAUGAACAAUUUGAUACAAAUUCAUGUAUCGAACCCACGCUUUCUUAGAUAAGCUCACCGAAGCAAUCGGUGAGCCAAUAAAGCGACAUUAAUUCUUACAAAGCAUUUUGUAUUAAAAGCGAUAGGGACAGUUGCGACAGAAAACAGCUUUUUCAUCGUUGCGUUGAAUAUCGAGUAUUAUCGUCAUCUUUGUAUACAUAUAUAUCAUUUCUGUAUUAUGUGAGAUAGAAGGCACAUGCAAAAAAGUCGGGAAUUAUUCACUUGUCAUGGUAAUGAAAGUGUAUCGUCACUUGUGAAAAUAUAAUUUUGUUCUUUUUUUUUUUUUGCUACUUAAAAUGGUUUGGACUUAUAAGCUAUAUAUGAAUGGUAUUUUAUAUGUUCAAGAGACAGAUAGUAACUAAUAACCCUGUAUAUCUGAUAUGCUUCUCAGAAAAAUGAAUACUAAUAAAUAAAAAAAGAAACUAAGAAACGUGUAUGGAGAACAAUUAGAUGACAAGUGCAUGCACACGCGUUCUCAAAGCAUUCUUAUUGUCGCAAUAUACGAGAAUCAUUGGUAUGUUAACCAACUUUAAAUAAAAAGUCAAAGAGAAUGGAUUAACAUAGCAGGAAGAAGAAAAUCUGGCGAGACAAUUCUUUUUUUUUUCUCCUUAAGCAACACUUUAAAAUGGGUAGUGUUAUGCCUAAAUCCGAUUAUAUCUCAUUUAAUUCGAGUAGUAUU